AUUGAACGCUGGCGGCAGGCUUAACACAUGCAAGUCGAGCGAGCGGCGGACGGGUGAGUAAUGUCUGGGAAACUGCCUGAUGGAGGGGGAUCACUACUGGAAACGAUAGCUAAUACCGCAUACCCUCAGAUGUGCCCAGAUGGGAUUAGCUAGUAGGUGGGGUAAGGGCUCACCUAGGCUACGAUCCCUAGCUGGUCUGAGAGGAGGACAAGCCACACUGGAACGGAGCCACGGUCCAGACUCCUACGGGAGGCAGCAGUGGGGAAUAGUGCACAAUGGGAGCAAGCCUGAUGCAGCCAUGCCGAGUGUGUUAAGAAGGCCUUCGGGUUGUAAAGCACUUUCAGCGAGGAGGCGGUACUCGCAGAAGAAGCAUCGGCUAACUCCGUGCCAGCAGCCGCGGUAAUAC
rnacentral:rRNA from 1 species